CCGAGAAGGAGGAGGGCACAGGACCUGCCACCAGGAGAUGGGAACUUGAGCCCCGGCUGAGUGAGAAAGAAGAGAGCAGCCCCUGGGAGUUGUGGACCGGGAGUGGACCUGGCGCUCGCUGGCAGGCUGGGUGCCUCCUGUAGAAGUAAACAGUGUCACAAAGCGUCAGUAUCUGACAAGGUCCUUCUGUGUCCUCAGUGGAGGGAGACAAGAACAAGACCACUCUGAUCACAUCUGAGCACAGACAAAAUAAGCACACGGUGCAAAGUGCAAAGGUGCCAGAUAUCACCCUGGCUCUCGCGAGCCCUUCUCUACCAGCUGUAGCACCAGCCUGCUAGGCUCCUCCUGUCUACCGGAUGCAAAUAUCAAGAGUUUUUAUUGGCCACCUCCAACCUACUUUGAGACUGAGUC
rnacentral:lncRNA from 1 species